rnacentral:lncRNA from 1 species
UGAAUAUAACUUGCAUUUGUUCUUUCCUUGGGUGAGGAUAACGCUUUUUGGAUUCUCUAGUGCGGCAUGAUACAUAGCAUAUAUUUAUAUUUUUUUUUGGUUCAGUUCAAGGCACCAAGAAAGGUACACAACAAAGAGUUGCAAUCAAAAUUUGACUAAACAUGUGAUUUUUUUUUUCGCAUUCCAAGAUGCAUAUCAAAUUGGCUCUGUAUCGUGUAUACAUCCUGCCCUGCUCAAGUAACAAGUCGUAACCAUAACUUUGUUCCAAAACCACCCCCACUAGUAGAAUCAUUCAGCUGGCAUUUACUACCUAUCAAGUCUCUGAUCUUUUUUUAGAAGAAAGUCUUCUGUCUUUUGAAAAUAUAAAGUCUCUGAUAUCUGUACCAUGUACCCCUUAUAUAUCAACUGACCAUACAAGUUCAAAUAUAUACUCAC